rnacentral:rRNA from 1 species
GACGAACGCUGGCGGCGUGCUUAACACAUGCAAGUCGAACGGAAAGGCCCUGCUUUUGUGGGGUGCUCGAGUGGCGAACGGGUGAGUAACACGUGAGUAACCUGCCCUUGACUUUGGGAUAACUUCAGGAAACUGGGGCUAAUACCGGAUAGGAGCUCCUGCUGCGGGGGGGGGGUUGGAAAGUUUCGGCGGGUGGGGAUGGACUCGCGGCUUAUCAGCUUGUUGGUGGGGUAGUGGCUUACCAAGGCUUUGACGGGUAGCCGGCCUGAGAGGGUGACCGGCCACAUUGGGCCUGAGAUACGGCCCAGACUCCUACGGGAGGCAGCGUUGGGGAAUAUUGCACAAUGGUCGGAAGCCUGAUGCAGCAACGCCGCGUGCGGGAUGCCGGCCUUCGGGUUGUAACCCGCUUUCGCCUGUGACGAAGCGUGAGUGACGGUAAUGGGUAAAGAAGCACCGGCUAACUACGUG